rnacentral:rRNA from 1 species
AGAGUUUGAUCAUGGCUCAGGAUGAACGCUGGCGGCGUGCCUAACACAUGCAAGUCGAGCGAUUCUCUUCGGAGAAGAGCGGCGGACGGGUGAGUAACGCGUGGGUAACCUGCCCUGUACACACGGAUAACAUACCGAAAGGUAUGCUAAAUACGAGAUAAUAUACUUUUAUCACAUGGUAGAAGUAUCAAAGCUUUUGCGGUACAGGAUGGACCCGCGUCUGAUUAGCUAGUUGGUAAGGUAACGGCUUACCAAGGCGACGAUCAGUAGCCGACCUGAGAGGGUGAUCGGCCACAUUGGAACUGAGACACGGUCCAAACUCCUACGGGAGCAA